rnacentral:rRNA from 1 species
GACGUAGGGCGCGAGCGUUGUCCGGAUUUAUUGGGCGUAAAGAGCUCGUAGGCGGCUUGUUGCGUCGACUGUGAAAACCCCGCGGCUUAACUGCGGGCUUGCAGUUGAUACGGGCAGGCUAGAGUUCGGUAGGGGAGACUGGAAUCCUGGUGUAGCGGUGAAAUGCGCAGAUAUCAGGAGGAACACCGGUGGCGAAGGCGGGUCUCUGGGCCGAUACUGACGCUGAGGAGCGAAAGCGUGGGGAGCGAACAGG